GGGGGGCCGUAGGGUGACCUGCGGAGGGAUCAUUACACAAAUAUGAAGGCGGGCUGGAACCUCUCGGGGUUACAGCCUUGCUGAAUUAUUCACCCUUGUCUUUUGCGUACUUCUUGUUUCCUUGGUGGGUUCGCCCACCACUAGGACAAACAUAAACCUUUUGUAAUUGCAAUCAGCGUCAGUAACAAAUUAAUAAUUACAACUUUCAACAACGGAUCUCUUGGUUCUGGCAUCGAUGAAGAACGCAGCGAAAUGCGAUAAGUAGUGUGAAUUGCAGAAUUCAGUGAAUCAUCGAAUCUUUGAACGCACAUUGCGCCCUUUGGUAUUCCAAAGGGCAUGCCUGUUCGAGCGUCAUUUGUACCCUCAAGCUUUGCUUGGUGUUGGGCGUCUUGUCUCUAGCUUUGCUGGAGACUCGCCUUAAAGUAAUUGGCAGCCGGCCUACUGGUUUCGGAGCGCAGCACAAGUCGCACUCUCUAUCAGCAAAGGUCUAGCAUCCAUUAAGCCUUUUUUUCAACUUUUGACCUCGGAUCAGGUAGGGAUACCCGCUGAACUUAA
rnacentral:rRNA from 1 species